ACGUAAGGGGCGAGCGUUGUUCGGAAUUAUUGGGUGUAAAGGGUGCGUAGGCGGUUUGACAAGUCUGGUGUUGAAGGCUACAGCUUAACUGUGGUUUGGCGCUGGAAACUGUCAGACUUGAGUUUAGGAGGGGGAGCUGGAAUUCCAGGUGUAGGGGUUAAAUCUGUAGAUAUCUGGAAGAACACCGGUGGCGAAGGCGAGCUCCUAUCCAUAGACUGACGCUGAGGCACGAAAGCGUGGGGAGCGAACAG
rnacentral:rRNA from 1 species